UGAUUAGAUACCCGUGUAGUCCCAGCCGUAAACGAUGCUCGCUAGGUGUCAGGCAUGGCGCGACCGUGUCUGGUGCCGCAGGGAAGCCGUGAAGCGAGCCACCUGGGAAGUACGGCCGCAAGGCUGAAACUUAAAGGAAUUGGCGGGGGGGCACAACAACGGGUGGAGCCUGCGGUUUAAUUGGACUCAACGCCGGACAACUCACCGGGGACGACAGCAAUAUGUAGGCCAGGCUGAAGACCUUGCCUGAAUCGCUGAGAGGAGGUGCAUGGCA
rnacentral:rRNA from 1 species